GGAUAUAGUUUUAUUAGCAAACGGCUCAUAACCGUUCGGUCACAGGUUUGAGUCCUGUAUUGUCCA
rnacentral:tRNA from 1 species